AGUGUCUGACAUGAACUGGGAACUUGGGGCAUCUUUAGAAGCACAGACAUUUGGAGUUCCACGGCAAACCUGGAUGUAAGCACUCACACAGCUUUUAAAGUGAAAGCAGGGACCUUGAGGAAGGAAUCGCCGUCAUCUCAUUGCCGACCUGCUUACUGUGCUGGGAAACAAAGUGCAGGUCUUCUGAACAAAUGCCUCCUGAGGAUUUCUGUGCCUGGAAAAUAUCUGUUAACAGACUGCUUUUACACCUACCUACCUGUAAGAAGAAUCAAGAUAAAGAAUUCAUGAAUGAUAAAAACACUUUGAAAAGACUGGUGGUUCCAUAAAAGCUGACUUUGUGCCUGGAACAUUGGAAGUGACCCGUCAGUGCUUACUGAAUGAAUAGGCAAAUGAACAAAACCUCCUGCAAUACAGCUUUCUUACCAUGCCUCAAGAGACUCUUCAGUCCAUCCUACUGUAGUUGCUUUUGAUUGGGUUCUCCCUGAGUACUGACCCUAGGCCCAGAUUCAGAGAUUUCUCCAAAAAAAGAGCUUCUUUCAAAGACAUCAUUCCUAUUGUCAACCCUGUUGGCAUAGACACAAAAUGUAAACGUUGGACAAAGGCAAUACUUGCUGUGACAAAGGCGAUAUUUGUUGUAACAAAACACAAAUGUCUGUCCAUCAGUGGGGAACGAGAAUGCUGGGAUUUGAAGAGGCCAAAAAAAUAAUACUGCUCUCUCUUUUGAGAAAGAGAGGGGAUUUUUUUUUUUUUUUUGAAAAGCCAUAAGCUUAGGACAGAUGAAAUUCAAAAUCCACACUAAACUUCACUGGAGAAUGUAAGCAAAAUAUGAGGCCACAGGUGAGCUUUCUAUUUCCUUCCUCCACUCUCCAAGAUGGCCCAUUGAUAUUUGGCUGUGUCCCCAAAUCUCAUCUUGAAUUGUAGUUCCUGUAAUCCCCAUGUGUCAUGGGAGGGAUCCAGUGGGAGGUAAUUGAAUCAUGGGAGCAGUUACUCCCUUGCUGUUCUGUGAUAGUGAAUGAGAUCUCAUGAGAUCUGAUGGUUUUAUAAGGGCCUUUUUCCCCUUUGCUUGGCACUUCUCCGUCCUGCCAUCAUGUGAAGAGGGAUGUGUUUGCUUCCCCUUCUGCCAUGAUUGUAAGUUUCCUGAGGCCUCCCCAACCAUGUGGAACUGUGAGUCAAUUAAACCUCUUUCUUUCAUAAGUUA
rnacentral:lncRNA from 1 species